AAACCUUCAAGCUAUGCUUGGUGUUGGGUGUUUGUUCCGCCUCAGCGCGUGGACUCGCCUCAAAUUCAUUGGCAGCCGGUAUGUUGGCUUCGUGCGCAGCACAUUGCAAGCGACUUCAGCAAACCUCCUUCCAUAAGCCCUUUUUUA
rnacentral:misc_RNA from 1 species